rnacentral:rRNA from 1 species
UACGUAGGGUGCAAGCGUUGUCCGGAAUUAUUGGGCGUAAAGAGCUCGUAGGCGGUCUGUCGCGUCUGGUGUGAAAAUCCAGGGCUUAACCCUGGACCUGCAUCGGGUACGGGCAGACUAGAGUGCGGUAGGGGAGAUCGGAAUUCCUGGUGUAGCGGUGAAAUGCGCAGAUAUCAGGAGGAACACCGGUGGCGAAGGCGGAUCUCUGGGCCUUACCUGACGCUGAGGCGCGAAAGCUAGGGGAGCAAACAGG